GAUGAUGUAGUUUAAUGGUAGAGCGUGGGAAUCAUAAUCCUAAGGUUGUAGGUUCAAAUCCUACCAUCAUUA
rnacentral:tRNA from 1 species